GCAUCGGCUGGGGGUGGAAAGAAUUUUGGUCAAGGAUGGACUCGCGGCCUAUCAGGUAGUUGGUGAGGUAAUGGCUCACCAAGCCUACGACGGGUAGCCGGCCUGAGAGGGUGACCGGCCACACUGGGACUGAGACACGGCCCAGACUCCUACGGGAGGCAGCAGUGGGGAAUAUUGCACAAUGGGCGAAAGCCUGAUGCAGCAACGCCGCGUGAGGGAUGACGGCCUUCGGGUUGUAAACCUCUUUUAGUUGGGAAGAAGGGAGCUUGCUCUUGACGGUACCAGCAGAAAAAGCACCGGCUAACUACGUGCCAGCAGCCGCGGUAAUACGUAGGGUGCAAGCGUUGUCCGGAAUUAUUGGGCGUAAAGAGCUCGUAGGCGGUUUGUCGCGUCUGCUGUGAAAUCUGGGGGCUCAACCCCCAGCCUGCAGUGGGUACGGGCAGACUAGAGUGCGGUAGGGGAGAUUGGAAUUCCUGGUGUAGCGGUGGAAUGCGCAGAUAUCAGGAGGAACACCGAUGGCGAAGGCAGAUCUCUGGGCCGUUACUGACGCUGAGGAGCGAAAGCAUGGGGAGCGAACAGGAUUAGAUACCCUGGUAGUCCAUGCCGUAAACGUUGGGAACUAGAUGUAGGGGCCAUUCCACGGUUUCUGUGUCGCAGCU
rnacentral:rRNA from 1 species